GCGCCCGUGGUCCAACGGAUAUGACGCAGGCCUCCGGAGCCUGAGAUUGGGGUUCGAUUCCCUACGGGCGCGCCA
rnacentral:tRNA from 12 species